rnacentral:tRNA from 1 species
AAGGCUUUAUCUUAAUAAAAGUAUUUGAGUUGCAUUCAGAAGAUGAGGAGUAAUUAUCCUCAAGCCUUA